AUUUUCCCUUUAUCCUUUAUGGUAAAAUUUAUUGCACUCCGGAGAACUCUAGUGUCAAAAGAGGCUGUUGGUUUAUAUUACAGAUGAAUCUGUUCAAGUACAACCAUUUGAGGAAAAUGGUUACUUGGUUAGAAUAGAUUUCAAUCCUACAGUUCCUCAUUGUUCAUUUGCCAGCCUUAUUGCCCUCUGCCUGAGAGGCAAGAUUCAGAAAAAUGUGGUGGAAAGGAUCAAAUUGGACAUAGUAAUUGCAGAGGGUAAACACAGCACAGAAGAAGAGAGUAAGUCCUAAUACCAUAUUUAAAUGUUCAAAAAAGCUUUCAUAAAAUAUUCUUUUACUUUAUUCCCAUCCAGUCAAUAAACAAAUCAACGAUAAGGAAAGAGUCGCCGCCGCCGAUAGUUGAUAGUUGCAUAAGAGAUGAAGAAUAAGAAUUUUUUUGAGAAGAAAAAAAAAUAAAAGACAAUAAAUUUUCUCAGAGUAUUUUGUAUUCCAUUCCAUGAGAUCAACUCACAAGUACGAAAGGCACUGCAGAGACAAUUUCAUCGCACAUAUACACCCUGGAUUGAUUUUAGUAUAAGACUAGAACAAUUACCAAAAAGCUCCCUGGUAUAUUUAUAAAUUUUGCAAGUGUUAUCUCUGGUAAGAAGAAAAGCAUAACCAAAAGCGACAAGCAAGUUUGUUUCGUGAAAGACUUGUAAACUUAAAAAAAGAUUAUGUGGACAUCAACAAGACAAUGAAGAGCUUGUGUUGAGUGGUUUACUCAGAGAAGCUUCGGAAGCAGCAGUUUGUCUUACACCAAUACCCAAGCUCUUCUGGUUUGAUUGUUGAUUGAUUGUGGUUUGUGCAGUGACAGUUUGCCACAACUUUCCAUUGAGUAUUGCUUAACUUAACCAUUAACUUUGGUUAAAGGAAACUGUAUAGCUCGCAAUGGAGCUAUGUAUAUGUAAUGAAGGGGGAAAAGUUGAUUUGAGAAGAACAGACACGCUUCAGUUUGCCCACAAUCCCCUUCCUUCCUCAUUCUGAUCCAAGAGGACCGUCUCUUCAUCAUCAUUCUCUUCGUUAACCUCGUCAUUGUAAUCCGCCUCAUCCUCUGAAAACCAGAUUUGGGAUCCGUCGAUCCCGUCAAUCGAAGGAUCCCACCCGCCUUCCUCUUCUUCAUCUUCACCUUCUCCGUCCUUUCUCUCCUCAGCUUCAUUUUCACCUUCUCUGUCCUUUCUCUCCUCAGCUUCAUCUUCACUUUCUCCGUCCUUUCUC